rnacentral:rRNA from 1 species
AGCGAACGCUGGCGGCAGGCUUAACACAUGCAAGUCGAGCGCCCCGCAAGGGGAGCGGCAGACGGGUGAGUAACGCGUGGGAACAUACCCUUUGGUUCGGAAUAACUCAGGGAAACUUGAGCUAAUACCGGAUACGUCCGUAAGGAGAAAGAUUUAUCGCCAAAGGAUUGGCCCGCGUCCGAUUAGCUAGUUGGUGAGGUAACGGCUCACCAAGGCUACGAUCGGUAGCUGGUCUGAGAGGAUGAUCAGCCACAUUGGGACUGAGACACGGCCCAAACUCCUACGGGAGGCAGCAGUGGGGAAUAUUGGACAAUGGGCGGCAAGCCUGAUCCAGCCAUGCCGCGUCGAGUGAUGAAGGCCUUA